AUCCGGAGGGGGGAGUGCUAGGUAAAACCUUUCAAUGUCUACUAGCCGAGCAGUUCAAACGCCUACGAGAAGGUGACCGCUUCUGGCAUGAAAACGCGCCGAACUCAGCAAAGAACACUGAUAAAACAGCUUUCACGCUUUGUCAACUGCAAGAAAUUAGAAAAGUCACAUUGGCCAAGGUGAUCUGCGACAAUUCUGAGAACAUCCCUUCUAUCCCCAGGAGGGUAUUACAACAGUCAAAGAUAUUCACCGAUUGUAAUAAGCUGCCCGAAAUGAACUUGAACGUGUUUAAACCAGGUUUCGGAUGUUGAUGGCGAGGAAGGAAGGGCGACACUCCAAACCUUGAGGUUGAAUAUGACGAAGGAUCGACCGACUAACCCAUCCACAAAAAUAUGGAAUAAUUUAUCGGCUUCUCGGCUCCGAAUCAUGGAUUUCUAUUAUUUUAGGAAGGAUUAUAGAUUAAGUCUACUAGGGUCAAGGGUUUAAUAUUGAUUUGCGCAGAAAUUAGAUAGUGGUUUGAAGAAUACUGAUUUAAAUUCUUACGGUGGAGGAGAGUUUGCAAGGAUAAUCUUGUUAGUGAAAUUUAACGUUCUUUUUGUAAUUGGUUGUGUUGUUUUCUAACUUACUGGGGAUCGCGCCCUUAUUUUUACCGGUCUCAGCCUACAAGAUAUUGCCAUUGAGGGAUCCGAUAGGUAUUAGGCUUUUCUUGUUGUUGUUGUGGUUUUUUUUAGUUUUAUUCAAAGAGGUUUCAUGUGUAAUUUCAAAUAUGAUAUCUAGGUGAACCAUUUUGGAAGCUCGCUAUAUUCCGCUUUAGAUAGACAUACAAUAAACUUCAUUGAUGCAUUAA